CCUACGGGGGGCUGCAGUGGGGGAUAUUGCACAAUGGGGGAAACCCUGAUGCAGCGACGCCGCGUGGGUGAUGAAGUAUUUCGGUAUGUAAAGCCCUAUCAGCAGGGAAGAAAGAUGACGGUACCUGACUAAGAAGCCCCGGCUAACUAGGCGCCAGCAGCCGCGGCAAUAUGUAGGGGUCGAGCGUUAUCCGGACUCACGGGGCGUAAAGGGAGCGUAGGCGGCCGUGCAAGCCAGGAGUGAAAUCCCGGGGCCCAACCCGGGGACUGCUCUUGAAAUUGUGCGGCUGGAGUGCGGGAGGGGCAAGCGGAAUGCCUGGUGUAGGGGUGAAAUGCGUAGAUAUCAGGAGGAACACCGGCGGCGAAGGCGACCUGCUGGACCGCGACUGACGUUGAGGCGCGAAAGCGUGGGGAGCAAACAGGAUUAGAUACCCGUGUAGUC
rnacentral:rRNA from 1 species